rnacentral:rRNA from 1 species
AGCGAACGCUGGCGGCAGGCCUAACACAUGCAAGUCGAACGAAGUCUUCGGACUUAGUGGCGGACGGGUGAGUAACACGUGGGAACGUACCUUUUGGUUCGGAACAAAUCAGGGAAACUUGAGCUAAUACCGGAUGAGCCCUUAGGGGGAAAGAUUUAUCGCCGAAAGAGCGGCCCGCGUUAGAUUAGCUAGUUGGUGAGGUAAAGGCUCACCAAGGCUACGAUCUAUAGCUGGUCUGAGAGGAUGAUCAGCCACACUGGGACUGAGACACGGCCCAGACUCCUACGGGAGGCAGCAGUGGGGAAGCUUGCGCAAUGGGCGAAAGCCUGACGCAGCCAUGCCGCGUGAAUGAUGAAGGUCUUAGGAUUGUAAAAUUCUUUUACCAGGGACGAUAAUGACGGUACCUGGAGAAAAAGCCCCGGCUAACUUCGUGCCAGCAGCCGCCGUAAAAC